AGCAAACGCAAGACAUAAACUUAACAAAUAAGUGAGUACACUUAGCGGGAAAGUAUUUCCCAAUAA
rnacentral:tRNA from 1 species